GGCUCGUCCGGGAUCUCCAAGGACUCCCCAGAACUCGCUCCAGAAAAGACUUGCCGGCUCUUUUAUAUUUGUCCAACACAGCUGUGGCUCACUUCCUCCCCAUACCCCAUACCACUUUGAAGCAAAAGGAAAUUGUCCUGGACCACACAUAAAAUAGUAUACAUCGACUGACCUGGGAAGCUCUGGCUUGGAGCGUCUUCUACCAUGCAUGGCCCAGAUCCUUGCUCCAACUUGAAGAUCACAGCAGGUUUGGUACUGCAUGAAAUCAAAGAGACAGAGAGACAAAGAUGGGGUGGAAAUCCUCCAAGGUUUUGGUUGGCUGAGAACUGUGUC